ACAAGGUGUUGACCGCCUAUGGCACCUUGCCACAGGCAGGGCGAGUGGCACGGGGCUGGAGGACCCGCGGCUGCCCCGUCCCCGCAGCGCACAAGGCACUGCCCGGCGGGGUGAUGGCAGGGAGUGCGCGGCACCUCCGCGGGUACUCAAAAAAGACCGAGGACGGGAUGAGGACGGAUGAGUUUGCGUCUUCGCAAAGUAUUUGGACCCUUGGCUUCAGCAAGGAGCAACCAAAAAUCCAGACUCUUCCAGGUUCUUGGAGAGCUCAUUCCAAGGUUCAGCCUACUCCUUGAUAAACUUUCAUCCCUGAGGGGACACGGAGGCUUUCCAUGCUCAGGAGGGAUUCUGACACUGAGGAAAGCAUUUUCAAGGAUAACCAGCUGAUUGUCACCUUCCUAAGUCCCAAGGAGCAGAACAUGAAGAAGAUGCACUUUCCUGGCUCAAUUGGUGAAUCCAUUUGGUGGGCCAGAAAGAACACCUCCCUUAGCUCAGGUUCUUCAGCUGUUGGCCUCCCCUGGAAUUAGGUCAUGAAGAUGAUGUACGCUUAGUGAUCUGGUUUAAAGGAAACCACAUCUUCCACAACAGAAACUCUUUGAUAAUUGUUCAAGCGUGGAAAUGAGGUCAGGAAGAAAAAUAAGGAACUCAGAACACAAGUAACCUGACUACUGUCUCACCUUUUAAGACAUAUUUAACCACUGACCUGGCAUGGAGGGCAUGUUUUAAACAGACGGUUGCAGUAACGAAAGAAAAAUACAGGCUGUCCAGCAGUGAGAGUACUUACUGAGCCACAUGACUUACCAGGGAUGAACAUCCUCCUUUGGUGUGAGCAAGCUGACAGGUUCACCUCUUGUCUUCCAGGAAAAUGUCUUUGCCUACAAGUUAAGUGCAUGGAGGUACUUUCCAUCCUUCCUCUUUAAGUUACCUAAGGACAGAAGCUGUGCAGACCCUCCUGAACCAUAUAUUUAUUAUAGUGACCGUGGGCAGUGCAUUCUCCAAAGGUACUCCUUUCUUCGUGUCACGGCUGGAAGUACUAACAAGAGUGCCACAUGCGGGUGUAUUUUCUAUAAAGUAGACCAUUACCAGCUAAAAAGUAAAGGCAAACUAUCAAUUCACUUAAUGUGGAGUUCUCAAUGAGCAUUUAGAUGCUGCCACUUCUGGGCACUGAUGGCUAUAUCAGAAUAUCUGUAGACGCUUGUGACCUGCAUUCCAGGCCUGGACUACCUGAUGAGCUGGCCACAAGGGAACUGGCUGAGCAAUUCCAUGAGGGCUGUGCUUUUGGAGAGAGCCUGCAAGAUCUACAGCUCUUAUUGCCUGAAGGUGACUUGCGUAGGAGUUUGGGGGCGUUUAAAGUGAUUGCAACUAUAGCUUUCAUGGUCAUUUUACAGCCCUGCUGUACUACAAGAGCAGAACAUCUUUGUCCAUGGAGAAAUUACGUUCCUUUAUCUAUACUUGUCCUUAUUUCUUCUAAUGUAUAAAAUGAACUGUCUUAAUGUCCUUCUGCAAUAACAAAAUUCCAAAACGACUACUCAUUAAAGUGGGUCUUCCUUGCAUAUGGACUACUUUAUAUCUGGGCUGCCGUGCAGGGGGAGAUAUCCAAACUGGCCUUAAAUGACUUAGAUGCAGUCUAGCCAUUCCAGCACAGCUGUCAGCUUGGAUCAAUUUUCCCUUCAGAAAAAAAAAAAAUAAAAAAUGCUGCCAUCAGUAGGAAUGUUUUGUGGCUGAGCUAUCUUGAUCCCCCACUACAGUUGCAGCAGGGAUCUAGCCUAUUUAUAUCCUUCAGCAAGGAGCAAGGAAAGAGUGCUCCUGAAGUGGGAAUUGGUGUGCACCCCAUUCCCAUUGUACCUCUAAUGUUAGAAGGAGUUCAGCUGUUCUCUGGAAAAGCUCCUCAUUUGGAUGACUGGAGUGCAAGGGUGCACUGUGGCAAACAACUACAGUCUGGGGAUCAAUACAGUACCAACAAAAGCCAGGUCUUUUAUUAGAUAUUGUGGGGUUUAUUUCAAUUUUACCUAGCAUGAUUUUCUGCCACUUUAUGUAUUUAAACACUUCUUCAACCCAGAAUGGAGUUCUCCCCAGCGAAGGUAAUUAGUAGCUAUCAGUGUGCAGUAUGGAACUGUUUUUCUCAUUUUGCUCCUGUGUAUCACACUAACACUGCCUGAUAGCAACAGAGGGCAGCUAUAAAAAAAUCUAACAAGAAAAUUAACAAUAAUGCUUCAAAAAUCAUCACUGAGGACCUGAUCAUGCUAAUUGAUGUUUAGGAUGACUCAUCCAAUUAGUUCUUUGAAAUAGGACUGGUUGCUGUUCUUACAUUAUUGAGAUUGCUAUGUUGUAGACCUUUGACGGUAUGAAGCAGUCAAUGAAUGCAAAUUAAUGAACAUUGACCCAUAGCCGCAGAAACAAUUACAUCUAUGUUAUCUUGCAUCAGCAUCUACACUGACCAUCCACUAACCAUCCUUCAGGGUGCACUCUGAGCUCUUCAACUGAUAGCAAAUAGGGAACCUUAGAGCACCAUACCUGCAGGCUACUAUGGAUAUCCGGAUGAUCUACAGAAGCCCAAGUUCUUUCUGUCCUACAAAACCACAAGCUUGUCCCAAACUGCUUUUCACACUCUACCUCAGAUGUCCUGUGCCACCAUACAGAGAAACACCACAAAUAUUUAACCUUGACGGUGUCAAAUGGCUGAGAUAAGGACAACACAACUUCUCCUCCAACUUGGAGCCUCAUAUUCUUCUUUCUAAAUGGAAAUCGGAUGGAAGAGACUCCACAUUUGAAAACAACAGCUAAAUCUAUGCGGAGAUGAUUGCCUGUUCGGUCAAGCUAGUGUGCUGGUGAGCUAGGGAAAAUGUUGAGAGAUGCUUCAAGCAAGGGUAAAGAUGGAUAAUUUGCAGUUGUGUACAAGAAGAAGGUACAGAGUCACCCACUGAAGAAAGAGGAAAACACCAAAGAGUCUGAACGCAGACAUACUCUCAGAAGGACUACAAAUGAAAUAUUCAACAUAACCAUCCAGCGCUGGCCUCAUUACAAACAGACCCACGGAAACCUCCAUUGUCACCACGCAGCUACGUGAGACAUAUCCCUGGGGCAGAGUGCAAGACCACUGCCAGCAAGGGGUAACUACCCAGUACUGCACUUCUGCGCACUCUGCUACAAGUCAGGAGCCUCUCCCUGCCUGAAAGAGGGUGGAAGAAGAAUGCGGAGUAGGGCUAUGAGACCAGGAUCAGGCGAGCAAGAUGGGAGUACACAAGAAACUAAGUAGAAAAUGUCUUCUAGAGAGAUGCUGGAAGCUGGCAGGUGGGAGGCAGGCUGUUGGAUGUCUCCUUGUACAUUUUCUUUGUGCUCAUGUGAACAUGAAUGACUGUUGCUUUAAAUCUUAUUUGCUGUCUGUUUUCAAAAAAAGAAUUGAGAAGAACUGUGUAUAAUUAUAUACAGAAUAUUAAUCUUCUUCCUGGUGAUCUACAACUCUAGCAUAUUCAUCACACUGGAACUGUACUCAAAAGUAUUUUCAUCUGAUUAAAACCGCUGAUUCAUCGAUGCAUAUAAUCCUUUGCUAAUAUGUAUAUAAAUGGCUCUUAAGAAUUUGCACAUCAGUUAUUCCUCAUUUUCAUUGUUAUUUGGUUUUUCUCAAACACAGAGUGCAACGCUGAAAUUUUAUGUUUAAAUCUAGGUUUUUUGAGAGGUAAGGUGCCGUGAUCUGGGUUGUGGUGGAGGAAGUGAUGGAGGAAGCUAGAAAUACUAACAUCUGAUUUUAGCUCUGGCCCUGACUUCCCUUUGUAGAUUUGGAUAAGUCACUGCUGUCAUGCCUACACUGGGGUCAAUAUUGCAGUCACCUUCAAUCCUGGACCCACAUAUUUUUAGGAAUUGUGAAUACUUAAACAUGAUCACGAGCCAUCUACCUCAAUACUGGAAAAUGCCACGCUUCAGACUGUGAAGCUCACUCUGACAUUACUCACUAUACUACGUCUUUCUGCACUUUCUCGGAAAUUCACAUGGGAAGAUACUUGUAUACUUUCACCAGGACUGUGCCAACUUGCUGUUCUUUACUUCUGACUCUUUCUGUACCUCCUUCCUUAUUUUACUGUUUAUAAAAAGAAGCUUGCUUAGAAGAAGAGACAAGGCUGCCAAAUGUUUCACAGCAGUGUCCCACAGGGAAACUUGGGAUAAAUCAUGGAAACAUAGAAUCAUAGAAUACUUUGGGUUGGAAGGGACCUUAAAGAUCAUCUAGUCCCAACUCUGCCUUCUAUGGGCAGGAACAUCUUCCACUAGGUUGGGUUGCUCAAAGCCUCGUCCUAACUGGUCUCGAACACCUCCAGGGAUGGGGCAUCCACUAAUUCUCUGGGCAACCUGUACCAAUGCCUCACCACCCUCAAAGUAAAAAAUUUCUUCCUAAUAUCUAAUACCUAUCCUCUUUCAGCUCAAAACCAUUGCCCCUUGUCCUAUCACUGCACUCCACGAUAAAGAGCCUCCCCCAGCUUUCUUGUAGCCCCUUCAGUUUCUGCAAAGCUGCUCUAAGGUCUCCCCAAAGCCUUCUCUUCUCCAGGCUGAACAAUCACAUGUCUCUCAGCCUGUCCUCAUACAGGAGGUGUUUCAGCCCUUUGAUCAUCUUUGUGGUCCUCCUCUGGACUUGCUCCAACAGAUCUAUGUCUUUCCUGUGAUGAAGAUUCCAGAACUGAACGCAGUACUCCAGGUGAGGUCUCAUGAGAGAAAAGCAGAGGGGCAGAAUCCCCUCCCUCAACCUGCUGGUUAAGCUCUGACGUAGCCCAGGACACGGUUGGCUUUCUGGGCUGUGAGCGCACAUUGCUGGCUUCUGUUGAGCUUCUCACCCACCAGCACCCCCAAGUCCUUCUUCUUCAAGGCUGCUCUCAACCCCUUCUCUGUCCAGACUGUAAUUGUGCUUGGGUUUGUAGAAUCUUACCUAUAUGAUCAUGAACUAGAAACGCAAUGCAAACAGUUUUGGUUUACACCAAACAGCCCAUAUACAUAUAUGAUAAAAAAAGGAAAUAUCGGCUUAUGGGGCUCAAAUUUUUUGUUUGAGAAUAACUUCAAGGUGAACACUAUAUAUCAUUACAGACAUAGCCUUAGGGAAUAUACAUAUAACAAUCUCAAUACCACUCUUGUCAAAAUCUUCAAAGCUGCAACUUAUCCCAUAGGAUAAGAAAUACUAUCAGUUAAAAUUCCCGCUACUUAACUAUCUCUUUCCACACAUGUUCACAAAUGCUCAGCAGCAGAACAUCCAUCUCAUACCUCCAUUCCCUCGUCCAUAUCAAGAAACUGGGUACAUCUCACCUGUGUCUCUUGAGAAGCCUGAAAUAGUAGCAGUGCUCAGAGCAUGUGAAGGGUGUGUCAAGGAGAUUGAUUUUGUGUGAAACUGAGUGUUAUUUUAUUAGAAAUAAAGGCAUGUAUUGACCUGCUCUUUGUACCUCACUCUGAUAAUCUGAGCACUUCCCCUAGGUUCAGUUCUCUCCUUGGGCUAAGAGAAAAAGCAAGGUCGAAUCCACAGCUCUCAGAAGCAAAGCUUCACUGUUCGGCUGAAAUCUCUUCUUGGUACACAUAUUCUUCAUUGGUUGUUGAAGCUGUUACACAGCAGUCCUAAAAUCUCCCCAGUCUUGUGAGUGUUUGAGAUUUUAUGAUCAUAUCCCAAGUCCCCAGUUCUCUCAAUCUCUUUUUUUCCUCUGCAAAUUACUUAAGCAGUUUAUGCCAGGAAAAAGAUGCAGACUUCUUCAUCCCACGUGGAGGGAAGUUUAUAAAGGGUUAUUUAUACAGCUGGAAUUGUGAGAGCCUGGAAAUCAGUCUUCCUUUUGUGUUAGCUUAGGCAGCUUCACACUCACCUGCUAUAAACACUAUUCUGAGUUAAUGAACUCCUCCCAUGUCUUGAUCCUGGGUAGUUAUUAUAAAAACUUGUAAGGCUCAGUAUUAUGGUAUCCAAGAUUCUUUAUGAAUUUAACUACUAGGACAAAAGUUUCCAUUCUGAGUAUGCAAAUGUCUUCAGUGCCUCUGAAAAUUAGAUCAUGCCUCCAUCUAGUCAGUGCCUAAUUUUACAGUUGAUAUUCAGAAAUGUUUGCCCAACCUCUGUAUUUUCUGGUUUUUGUUUGUAAAAAUGGAACAUUAAUACUUAAUUGCUUCUCAAAACUUUGUGGGAAUUAAUGCUUCUAAAGCAUUUCAAGAAUGAAAAGGACCACAUAAACUGACAACUACUGUAAUUAAGUAUGAAUUAUUUAAAAUGAAAAAUUUGUAUUGCAAAUGAAGUGUUGGAGCAAUAUAUUGAACAAACCACCAAAAAACCUCACAAAAAUUACUAACCAAAACACAAGGCUUAGGCAUAUCACAGUACGACAUCUUAGCAAAGUAUUGAACGUCAACUGAGCUGUAGAAAUUUACCAUAUUGUUUCCAUGGAAAGUAGUUUCAUGUGAGAUAUUUUACGUUGCGUUUGGUGCAGACAGGAAGAUGGUCAGUCAGGUAACUUCGGCUUAAUGAGGAGCCUUCAACAGUAGUUUCAUAGUGACUGCUACUCACUGCCGUCUAACUGUUAUCCUGUGCCUUCUUUUUGUGGUAUGGAGAUUUUUUUUCCCUUCUAGUAUUUCAAAUGUAAGUUCUGUAGGGGAAGUAACCACUGUUUUAUUACCUGGACCUAGAACAGUUAGGCUUAAGCUCCUGUGCUGGCAGAUGAUCCAGUAUAGAUAAAUAUCAAGGAUAAUUUUAAGGACAUUUAUUAUCAAUAACUACAUGCAGCCAGGUACAGAAUUCAAAUAUGCAUUUAGAGCAAAUGCCUCAAGUGGAAAUUUUCUAGAUGAAACAUAGGCAGUGGACUCGGUUUAGGGAAAGGGAAACCGAUAAUUAAUGUCUAACACGGUAUAAUAAUAUAUGAUAUUUAAUAAAAGCAUUCC